AAUGAACGUUCGCGGCAUAGAUUAGGCAUGCAAGUCGAGCGCGAAACGUAGCAAUACGUGGAGAGCGGCGAAAGGGAGAGGAAUAUAUAGAUACCUACCUUCUGGUCUGGGAUAGCGGCGGGAAACUGCCGGUAAUACCAGAUAACGUCUCCGGACCAAAGGUGUGCUUCCACCGGGAGAUGGGUCUAUAUCCUAUCAGCUAGUUGGUAAGGUAACGGCUUACCAAGGCUAAGACGGGUACGGGGUGUGAGAGCAUGCCCCCGCUCACUGAGACAGAGACACUGCCCAGACACCUACGGGUGGCUGCAGUCGAGAAGCUUCGGCAAUGGGCGAAAGCCUGUCCGAGCGAUGCCGCGUGUGGGAUGAAGGCCUUCGGGUUGUAAACCACUGUCGUAGGGGAUUAAUGGUAGGUGGGUUCUCCCAUCUAUUUGAACGAUCCUAGGAGGAAGGACGGGCUAAGUUCGUGCCAGCCGCCGCCGUAA
rnacentral:rRNA from 1 species